AUGUUUAGCAUGGGCAGCCAGACUUCUGUUUGCUCCGCCAGACAAAACCUGGUAACAAUGGGUUGGAAAGUGGACAAACAGGAAAAGAGAACUGAGAAGAAGUGCCAAGUGGUCUGCUUGGAGUUAGGGGAAUUCAAAGUGCAUUUGUGGUUAUUGUUUCUGCAUUAUGCUUGUAUUCACAAAUUGUUCGGCAAAAAUGGAAGCAACUGUGUAAUGGUCAAAGCAUAUCAUCAAGGACAAAUAGCUAAUCAGAAUUACUUCUGUUUUUAUUUGCAUAUGAUGCCAAUAGCUUUACUUGAAACACAUCUUGAAGUUGAAGUGACAUCUUGUUGUUUUGGGGUAUUAUGUGACUAUUUUUUGUACAAUGUGAAAGAAACUUAA
rnacentral:rRNA from 1 species